CGCGCUCGGAGGCGGCCCGGCGGCGCGGAGUCCUCCCGGAUCGCGGCAAUGGGCAGACACAGAGCGCAAAGUGGCGGACUUGGGCGGCCACAGGUAACUUUCUCGCAAGGCGCUGAAUUCUUUCACUAAAGGGUACAAGCCCGAGGGCCGAGCUGCGCGGUGAUUGGCUGCGGUGCUCCCUCAGGUGAGCUGCCAUUGGCAGAGGCGCGCUCAGGGGCAGGGUAGAGGUGAUGGGAGAGACGGAGCGGGGAGCGCCACUACAGACACUAGGUACCGUGGGUCAAACCGAAGGACGACAGAGUGCUGAACCCAGAAAUCAACAAGCCACCCGGAACCAAAUGGCCAGUUCACCACCUGCCACUUGACACCCGCAGGACGAAAACUGUGUGGCGGGCAGAAGAGUCAGGGAACUAGAGUUAAGCUAUGCUGAGUGGGAAAGGAACGGAUUGCCGGGUCUCUUGCGUAAUUGCGUUGUUAGCAUUCUUAUCCACAACAAACUCUUCUCCUGCUCUGAUGCAUAGAAGAUAGCAGGUCGUUUUCAGUUUUCAAAUAGUCGAGCGACCUUUCCUGAACUGGAUCUAUGAAGUGCGGCGAGGCUUUAAUGGAGAAAGGAGAUUCGGUUGAAUAGACUCUUAAGAUGGCCCGGGCACACCUCUUGCAUCUCUCCGCAGCCUGAGAUUCCUGCGCUGCAGAACAACUGCAUCUGUUCCAUAAGCCUGUCGGCCGUUGACAUUUCUAGGCAAGCAACAACAUUUACAUUGUAAUUCAAUAGAAGCAGCUACUACAAAGGCUCUUUAUCCUUGCAGUUUAAUAUGGUUGCCAGGGGAACAACGCAGGAUGAAAGUGACUUGUUUGUGUGGGUUCUCUUCUGGUCCGGAACAGUGCGAAGUAGCCAGGUGUCAUUUAUAACCGCUGCUAUGAGAGUAAAGUAUUUGUGGGAGUUCUGACAGGAAUCUAGCCCAUACAUGAGCGUGGUGGAGAUACAGGAGGGUAUGGAAAGCUUUGCCACAUUUAUGUCAAGUCAACACUGGAGCACUGGAGCUGUCAGACUUGACACAACUUCUGUAUUAAACCUUUGCAGGUCACAUGGUUUGGGGGAAUUAAAUUACGGGACUAGG
ensembl:antisense